rnacentral:rRNA from 1 species
UACGUAGGGGGCAAGCGUUGUCCGGAUUUAUUGGGCGUAAAGAGCGUGUAGGCGGCCAGAUAGGUCGGUUGUGAAAACUGGAGGCUUAACCUUCAGACGUCGACCGAAACCAUCUGGCUAGAGUCCGGAAGAGGAGAGUGGAAUUCCUGGUGUAGCGGUGAAAUGCGCAGAUAUCAGGAGGAACACCAAUGGCGAAGGCAGCUCGCUGGGACGUGACUGACGCUGAGACGCGAAAGCGUGGGGAGCAAACAGG